rnacentral:rRNA from 1 species
CAAUAGCGUAUAUUAAAGUUGUUGCGGUAAAAAAGCUCGUAGUUGGAUUUCUGUUGAGAGCGACCGGUCCAUACCAUGUAUGCGUAUCUGGCUUGCUCUCGGCAUCCUCUCGAUAGACGUUACUGCGCUUGAUUGCGUGGUGCGGAUCUCGGGACUUUUACUUUGAGGAAAUUAGAGUGUUCACGGCAGGCUUUCGCCAGAAUACAUUAGCAUGGAAUGAUACUAUAGGAUCUUGGUUCUAUUUUGUUGGUUUCUAGAAUUGAGAUAAUGAUUAAUAGGGACAAUUGGGGGCAUUCGUAUCAACACGUCAGAGGUGGAAUUCUUGGAUUGUGUUGCGACGAACUACUGCGAAAGCAUUUGCCAAGGAUGUUUUCAUUGA